rnacentral:sRNA from 1 species
GCUGCUGCGGCGGUUGCAGCGGCGACUUCAGGGGUCGCGGGGGAGGGCGAGCCCGGGCCCGGGGAGAAUGCGGCCGCUGAGGGGACCGCCCCAUCCCCGGGCCGCGUCUCUCCGCCGACCCCGGCGCGCGGCGAGCCGGAAGUCACGGUGGAGAUCGGAGAAACGUACCUGUGCCGGCGACCGGAUAGCACCUGGCAUUCUGCUGAAGUGAUCCAGUCUCGAGUGAACGACCAGGAGGGCCGAGAGGAAUUCUAUGUACACUACGUGGGCUGUGAGUGGCUUGGCACAUCUGGGCAUGGGUGCGGGGAGUUGGCUGCCCUGGCAGCACUCUUAUGGCCCAUCCUUACAGUUAACCGGCGGCUGGACGAGUGGGUAGACAAGAACCGGCUGGCGCUGACCAAGACAGUGAAGGAUGCUGUACAGAAGAACUCAGAGAAGUACCUGAGCGAGCUCGCAGAGCAGCCUGAGCGCAAGAUCACUCGCAACCAAAAGCGCAAGCAUGAUGAGAUCAACCAUGUGCAGAAGGUCCGGAUCCCUUCCCAUCCACGGGCCCAGGAGGCCCAGCUGCCUCUGCCAGUUCCCUUGGGUCUCUCGGGCCCCAGUGCCAAAACCAUAGCAAAUCCCAUUUCUUAAGCUCCUGUAGUGUGUCAGGGACUUUACCUACUUCCUCUUACUUACUUUUCAUAGGUAAGAAAACAGACAGAGGGUAAGGGCUUCACUGCAGUCUCACAGCAAGGAAAUGGCACAGCUGGGACUAGAACUCAGGCCUCCGGCACCGGUAGCCUCUUUUGUCUCCUAGUAGCUGUGUCUUAGUAGAAAAAAUGACUUGAAGUUCAGUGGGAAAGACGAGAAUGUUAUUCGGCAGUUGCUAUAGCCAAGCACCCUGCCAAGUCCUGUAUAUGUAUAAGCUCCUCAAAUCCUUCCCAACAAUUCAACACACAGGAAUAGUUACUUUUUUGGUAGGUGAGGAAGCAGGCUGAGAGAGAUUAAGUAACAUGCCCAAGGUCACACAGCCAGUAAAACGGUGGGCUGGAAUUAGAAUAAUAAUGCCAAACACUUGUUAGCCGGUGAGCAGAAGUAUUCAGCUAAAUGGUUUUUGUGUGUGUGUGUGUGUGUUU